UACAGAGGUCUCAAGCGUUGUUCGGAUUCAUUGGGCGUAAAGGGUGCGUAGGCGGCGAGGUAAGUCAGAUGUGAAAUCCCGGAGCUUAACUCCGGAACUGCAUUUGAUACUGCUUUGCUUGAGGACUGGAGAGGGGAUCGGAAUUCACGGUGUAGCAGUGAAAUGCGUAGAUAUCGUGAGGAAGGCCAGUGGCGAAGGCGGAUCUCUGGACAGUUCCUGACGCUGAGGCACGAAGGCCAGGGGAGCAAACGGG
rnacentral:rRNA from 1 species